CCCUUAGAUGUUCUGGGCUGCACGCGUGCUACACUUAUAUUGCCAAUAUGUCAUUCUUAUCCGAAAUGGAUUGGGUAAUCAAGUAAUGAAAUUUCAUGCUUGGAAUCGGUAAUUGCAAUUUUAUCGUGAACGAGGAAUUCCUAGUAAGCACUAGUCAUCAGCUAAUGUUGAUUAUGUCCCUGCCCUUUGUACACACCGCCCGUCGCUACUACUGAUUGGGUGUUCAAGUGAGAUGCUUAGACCCUUGUUGCAUGGUUCAUUAUUGUGCUCCGAAAGGAAAAAGUUUCAAGCUUGAGUGUCUAGAGGAAGUAAAAGUCGUAACA
rnacentral:rRNA from 1 species